CAACAAUCGUUUAUAAGGAUAUAUUAAACGGUUUAAUUUAAAUAUUUAAAUUUGAUCUUUUUGUCUAAAUAGGAAAGAGGGAAUAUAAAUCUGACUAUAUGCUGGAAACUCCGGUGUAUCCUGUGCUACUCUUGAAAAAGAGUGAAAAAGCAACAGGUGCGGACAAUCAGCAGGAAAGGCCUCAUUAGAUAUGGAAUUAUCUAAUGGGGAAUCCUCAACGACUAUACGUCAGAAUACGUUCAGUUUACAUGAACGUAUAAGAUAUAGUCUGAUCUCCAUGGCGACUUGGAG
rfam:Microgenomates (Woesebacteria) bacterium GW2011_GWC1_43_10b TV56_C0001, whole genome shotgun sequence.